CUCAUUAUGCGGCUUGUUAUAUAAAUGAUCAUCUGUAUUGUACUAUUACAGGUUCUUCAGAACAUCUUGGAUUUUAUGGAUGAGGGGCCAUUAUUUAAAGGUUUCAUGAAGGACUGUGAAGCUGGAUUAUAUUUCUGUGCAGAAGGAUUAAAAAACUACACCAGACUGGUGGCCAUGACAGAUGUCAGUGGGAAAUUUAAACAUGGACUAGAUACUUUUAAUGUGUAGCAAAAAAGUUCAUCGUUGAUGGUGGUGUUUUUAUGUGAUAUAUUGACUGGGAUAGUAUUACUCUUCAGAAAUACAGAGCUGUCAAUGCUGUAAUUUUAUUGUGAAAUUCACAAUCCAUGUCCAGAAGUGCUUGUUUAACUAUACAGCAAAGAAGGAGAAAUUGUACUGGGUCGACACCUAUAUGGCAAAUUCAGAAAGUGGAAUAUCUCAACAACCAUAGGGUUUACAGUCAUGAAACUUCACACACUAGUAGCUGAUAACAAUACAAAUCAGUGGCUAAAAGGAUAUUUCCAAGGCGAUGCAUUCCAUACAUUAGAAGGAAUUUAGAAUCAUACAACCAGUCAGCAGCUACCCAUAAACCAGACCAACCUAUUAGGUCGAGUGGGCAGAAGCUGUGAUUCCCAGUGUAACACGGCAGACUGACGGCUAUUUUUCGGAUUACAUUUCUGUGCGAAAGGAUUAAAAAACUACACCAGACUGGUGGCCAUGACAGAUGUCAGUGGGAAAUUUAAACAUGGACUAGAUACUUUAAUGUGUAGCAAAAAUGUUCAUCGUUGAUGGUGGUGUUUUCUGUGAUAUAUUGACUGGGAUAGUAUUACUCUUCAGAAAUACAGAGCUGUCAAUGCUGCAAUUUUAUUGUGAAAUUCACAAUCCAUGUCCAAAAGUGCUUGUUAUACUAUACAGCAAAGAAGGAGAAAUUGUACUGGGCCGACACCAUUAGAUCGUAUGCAAUUUGGAGAUCUCAACAGUUAUAUGCAGUCGGGGAUAUUGUUAGUUGCAUGCAGUCAGGGGAUCUUGACAGAUGUAUGCAGUCAGGGGAUCUCGACAGUUGUAUGCAGUCAGGAGAUCAUAACAGUUGUAUGCAGUCCGGGAAUCCCGACAGUACUUUGCAGUCCAGGGAUCUUGACAGUUGUAUGCAGUCAGGGGAUCACGACAGUUGUAUGCAGUCUGGGGAUCUUGACAGUACUUUGCAGUUCAGGGAUCUUGACAGUUGUAUGCAGUCAGGAGAUCACGACAGUACUUCGCAGUCCAGGGAUCUUGACAGUUGUAUGCAGUCAGGAGAUCUUGGAUCUUUUGUACUGUUGACAUUCUCAAGAUUCUGUCUUAAAAAAAACUUACUUGGACAGCUUAAAAGCUUCUCUAUAACUUGACUCUGACAUUCUAAAGUAGAAGACAUGUGUAUGAAUAUUUAGUUCCGGCAUGCAGUACUUGAGCAGUUGAGUUUUGGAAAGGUGGCAAUUUGAAUGUUUACAGUGAUCUCUGUAAACUAUUAAUUGGCAAAUUGACGGGGAUUUUGGUAGUAAAUAUGUUAUCAGUGGUGCAAGACUGGAAUUUUGACUCUAAGGUGAAAAAGUGGACUAAUCGCAUGAUAGGCAUCUAUACCUUUGCGCAGGCUAUAAAGAAGUGUCAUCUUUUUCAUGGGUAGUUUCGAGGACUUUUAUAACUUAUUUUUUUUUUUUGCAAUUUGUGUAUUUUUGAAUGUGUUGAAGCACAAUGAGGAACCUUUGGACUUAACAGCAGUGUCAGAACAGGAUAACCGGUUUGGCUGGCCGGUCUGGGACGUCCAAUGCCCAGACUGCUGGUGCCGCGAACCCCACUGAUGGGACAACUAGUUCGGCUGGCUGGUCCGGGUCCUCACAGACCCAGACAGCUAGUGCCGCAAACCCCAUGGAUGUCAGCAGGAAUGGAGUUCACCAUAUGGAGUCAGAAGAAACUGAAAAUACAAAACUGUUUUGAUGACAACUGCACUGACAAGACAACUGGUUCGGCUGGCCAGUCUGGGGUGUCCAAUGCCCAGACUUAUAGUGCCGAAAACCCCACCGACAGAACAACUGGUUUGGGUCCUUACAGACCCAGACUGCUGGUGCCGCAAACCCCACGAAUGUCCGCGGCUCUCAUCUGGCAGAAGAAAUAGCUACAAAUGGUGAGCUGCAUAGAAGCAAGCAUUUUAGAAAACGAGGAUGUGAUUCCAAUCGUGACCAGGCUGGUGACCUUGAUCGUGGUCAUUGGGAUACGGAGGAUUUGAUAGACAGGCGGGGAACUGCAAAAAAGGGCAUGAAUAAAGGACAGGGCGGGUAUUCAUGGAAGAGGUGCAUUUGAUAAACAGGGCGGGAGUGAUUGUUCUAUGAGAUAUUGUUCUGAAGAUCACAGUGGGUGUGAUUUUUAUCACCCACACCCUAGGAGUUCUGUAGUAGAGGGUGGACAGAGAUGAUAGGAAGACGUAGAGAGGACAGACAGAGAAGAUAGCCGUCGAAGCCACCAGCAACUCGACUGAGACUUUUAUAAUUAUUGUAAUAAAACUUGGUAGUUAGAAUGUGAAUUGAUGGAACACAAAUGGCUUCUCAGAUAAUUUUAAUUUUAGAGCAAAUUUUAUUGAUAAACUUCAUUUUGAUGUGAUUGUUAUUUCAGAAACACACCUAACAGCUGAUAAGAUAAUUGAACUGUCUAUGUAUUUUAUGGAUACAAUAGAAAAAAUAUUUACGUAAAUGCGCAAACUGGUUCAGGUGGAGUUUGUAUUUUUGUAAAAAGGUCUUUUGCAGAACAUUUUAGUUUUGAAAUUUUAGACAUAAGCUAUGAGGGAAUUUUAUGGUUAAGUUUUAAAUCUAAAAAAGUUUUGAGAAAAUUGUUACUGUUUGUGCUUGCUUUUUGCCACAAAUGGGAUUUUCUGCAUAUGUGGAGAUCAUGAUUAUUUUGACCAACAGUUAAGUAAUAUGUAUGAGUAUCAGAAAUUUGGUAAAUUUUUUAUUCAUCAGUAGAUCAGGUGUAAGAGAUGACCGGCAAAGUUCUGUACCAUUUGAAUUUGUAGAUGAUUCUGAGAUUUGUACUUGUAGCCCUGUUUUAGUUUUAAAUAUGUGGAAAACAGACUUCUAUAACUUACACUGAAUACUGACAUGUUUGUUGAGGGAUUGCAAAUAAGGAAAGCAAUGUAUAUAUAGAUAAGUUGUACUGAUCAAGACAUAUUCACAUUGUUUGAUGUUAAAACUGCUAUUUUUAAUGUUAAAAAUAAUAGAGCAAUGAGAUAUGAUGAAACACCAAGUAUAGGUUUUAAAUAUGAGGCACAGUAUUUGCAUUUGAUGUUUAAUUUCUUAUAACACCGACAAAGUACCAAAAGCUUUGGGUAAAAGUAUUAUUAACCCUGUACUGAAAGGAUCUACAAUCACUACUAAGGAUCCAUUGUAUUACAUGGGUAUUUCUAUCAUACCAGUCAUACACAAAAUUAGUGUUCAUUGUUAAAUAAGAAACUUACCUCUUUUGUUCAAACAAAUUGUAUUUUAUUUGAAGGCCAAAAUGGCUUCAGUAAAAUUGGAAGUACCAUUGAUCAUCUAUCUACUUUAACAAGUAUUGUUGAUACACGGCGGAAAAUGAAGUUGACAUUGUUCAUUUAUAGACUUAAGGAAUACUUACGCCUGUAUAAAGAGGCAAAUUUUAUGGUGUUAAUUAGAUAGCAUUUUUGGGAAUAAGUUAUUAAAUGCCACAAAACGUAAAUGUAUAGUGUAGUUUUAAGUGGUAACUUUAGAUUUUAAGUGUUGUUUGUUGUACAUAUAUCUCCUAUAACUCUGUUUACAGUGGCAGUACUCAUUUGUACUGUAUAAAUAUUAAUCUGUGCUGAUGAUAAUAAAUAAACAAAUAAAUAAAUACAAUGUCACUGUAAAUUUGAAAUGAAGAGAGUGUGAAAUAAGAAAUCAUCAUUCAGUGUUUUUUUUUAAUGGAAGUAAGCUGUGAAUAUAUUUGAACAAAGAUCAGUCACUUUUUUGGUUUUGACCUGUCGGAAAUAAUGUUGGAUGACUUUGACUGAAAAAAGAUUUUCAUAUUUUUUAAUUUCUUUUACAUAAAUUUUGAACUGAUUAAUGUAUUGUGAAAAUGAUACACUUGAGCGAAUUAUAGGGAAUUUUGUCAGUCUUUGAAUUUUUGUAUGUCAGACUUUGAAUUUUUUGUAUGUCAGACUUUGAAUUUUUGUAUGUCAGUCUCUGAAUUUUUGUAAUAUUGCACACCAACUGACAGUCGGUAUAUACACGGAGGCUUGUUGUGUGCCGAAAUAAAAAGAUCUAAUUAUAUUCUUUCUACAGUAGAUAUUGAGUUUACAUGAAUAGAACAUACAGCAAAAAUAAUGGAUUGGCAUGCUUGAUUUUUUGGUGAAUCUGCUUUGAAAAUUCACAGCAAUUCACCAUUUUCCUAAUAAGAGUCUGAUGUAACAUCAUAUUUUAAGGAUUUACUGUGUAAAGAAAUGUUGAUUUUGACAUAACAGUUGUAAAAGUACCAAUAUUGCAUCAUGUAUUGUACUUAAAUUAUAACCCAAUGUAGUGACUGGCCAAUGGCUAAAGCGAACAACUGAAAUUCUGGCUGAUUUUCCAACACAUUUAAGAACUGUUCAUGUUAGAUGGUCUGUUAAUCUUGAGAAUGGAUUCAUUGUUGGCUAUACAGACAGAAAGAUAUUUUAUUAAGGUCUUACUUUCAUACAUAAAAGUAUAAAAUACAUUAAUAUACAAGGCAUAAUUAUGAGAUUCUAAUUUUCAGACAUGUACAUUUACUUAUUUUUUUAUUUUUAUUUUUGUAUUUUGAUAAUUUUCAAAAUGAAUUAAGAGAUGUAUUUGAAAUUGCAGUGUGUAAUUACUGAGGAUUAACUUGCCUUGAAAUGUGCAUGGUAAGUCUACAUAAGUAUAUCUGUCCUUCCAAACAAAUAUUUACAUUUUAUUAUUGAAUCUUGCAAAAUAUUGCAGAAACAUCUGUCCUGUAGAUCAUUUGAUAUAAUACGCUUUUUAAAACAAGAGUUUGUUCUUUGUUCAGAAUUGAACACAUUGGCUGUUAUAAGAUCCAUGAAUAUAUGUAUUUUUCUUAAUGUUUUGAUAGGAUAUUUCUCGUUCUUGGAUAUACAUUGUUGUUUGUUCAAUAUGUUUAAAUGAAAAAAUAUAAAUGACUAAAUAAAUGUACAUAAUUUUGA